rfam:Chlorocebus sabaeus isolate 1994-021 chromosome 25, whole genome shotgun sequence.
GUCAGGAUGGCCGAGUGGUCUAAGGCGCCAGACUCAAGGUAAGCACCUUGCCUACGGGCGUUCUGGUCUCCGGAUGGAGGCGUGGGUUCGAAUCCCACUUCUGACA